CCAAACCAAACCUCCCAAUUUCCAGUGUAAGUGAUUUCAGAGAGGUGUUCCCUGCUAACCCUUCGCCAAGACCGUGUUCCCAUUUACUGCUCACGAAUCUACGCUUGGUUUUUAUUUUGAUUGUGAGUGAUUCCAGCGAGGUGUUUCUGGUUAAACCCUCACCAAAACUGUGUCCCCAUUCAUCGUCAUCGUACCAUCGUCGUCAAUUUCCAGUGUAAGUGAUUUCAGAGAGGUGUUUCCUCCUAACCCUUCGCCAAAACCGUGUACCCAUUUACUGCUCAAGAAUACACAAGCCCU